rnacentral:lncRNA from 1 species
CUUGACUUCAACAGACAAAAUACCCAUCAACUUCAUUCUACUUUUUCUUUAGGAAUUAUUUAAAACUAUCCUGAUAAACUCAGAAUCACUUGAAACUGAAACUUAAAUGCAAAGGCUAUCCUAGUUCAAUUCAAACAAAUCAUGUAUCUAUGUUCCAAUCUUCAGCACUGUAUUAAAGAGAACAACUUGGAAAUGAGCUUAGGAUCCACAGGUCCUGGGAAAUAGCUUAGGACCCAUAGAUAAAGUUGGUGAAGGACAAUUUGCUUAAUUUAUUGCCUUGGAAUUUGAGCUCAGGAGUUCAAGACCAGCGUGAGCAACAUGGUGAAACCCAGUCUUUACAAAAAGUUCAAAAAUU